rnacentral:rRNA from 1 species
CUAUCCGCCAGAGAACUACAAGCGAAAAGCUAAAAACUCCAAGGACUUGGCGGUGCUUCAAACCAACCUAGAGGAGCCUGUCCUAUAAUCGAUACCCCCCGCUCAACCUUACCACCUUUGGCCAAUCAGCCUAUAUACCGCCGUCGCCAGCCUACCUUAUGAAAGAAGAAGAGUAAGCGAAACAGUUAACAACUAAUACGUCAGGUCAAGGUGUAGCACAUGAGGUGGCAGAGAUGGGCUACAUUUUCCUACGAACACACGAACAACGCGUUGAAACACGUGUUUAAAGGUGGAUUUAGUAGUAAGAUAGACAAGAAAAACUAUCUAAAACCUGCUCUGAAGCGCGCACACACCGC